CAUAUCAAUAAGCGGAGGAAAAGAAACCAACAGGGAUUCCCCUAGUAACGGCGAGUGAAGCGGGAACAGCUCAAAUUUGAAAUCUGGCCUUCGGGUCCGAGUUGUAAUUUGCAGAGGAUGCUUUUGGUGCGGUGCCUUCCGAGUUCCCUGGAACGGGACGCCUUAGAGGGUGAGAGCCCCGUACGGUUGGCCACCAAGCCUUUGUAAAGCUCCUUCGACGAGUCGAGUAGUUUGGGAAUGCUGCUCAAAAUGGGAGGUAUAUUUCUUCUAAAGCUAAAUACUGGCCAGAGACCGAUAGCGCACAAGUAGAGUGAUCGAAAGAUGAAAAGCACUUUGAAAAGAGGGUUAAAUAGCACGUGAAAUUGUUGAAAGGGAAGGGUUUAUGACCAGACCUUUUCUAGGGGGAUCAUCCGGUGUUCUCACCGGUGCACUUCCCCUAGUUGAGGCCAGCAUCGGUUUCUGUAGGGGGAUAAAAGCUUCGGGAAUGUGGCUCCUUCGGGAGUGUUAUAGCCCGUUGCAUAAUACCCUUACGGGGACCGAGGUCCGCGCUUCGGCUAGGAUGCUGGCGUAAUGGUUAUUAACCACCCGUCUUGAAACACGGACCAAGGAGUCGAACAUUUGUGCGAGUGUUUGGGUGUUAAACCCUCACGCGUAAUGAAAGUGAACGGAGGUGAGAGCCCUUCGGGGUGCAUCAUCGACCGAUCCUGAUGUCUUCGGAUGGAUUUGAGUAAGAGCAUAACUGUUCGGACCCGAAAGAUGGUGAACUAUGCGUGGAUAGGGUGAAGCCAGAGGAAACUCUGGUGGAGGCUCGCAGCGGUUCUGACGUGCAAAUCGAUCGUCAAAUCUGCGCA
rnacentral:rRNA from 1 species